GCAAGGUAAGAGUGAACACUGGCUUCUUAAAUUUCCAGUCCCUCAGCAGUUCAAAGCAGAGCCAGCUGUCUUGCUGACAUAAAUCCUGUCAAAGGGAUCGAAGAUGGAGUUUUGCCAUGUUGCCCAGGCUGAUCUGGAACUCCUGCAGUGAAGCGAUCCACCCACCUCGGCCUCCCAAAGUGCUGAGCCACAGUGCCCGACCUGUUCCUAUUCCGGAGGCAUAAUAUGUAGUACACAGAAAAGCUGGAGGGCGAGUGGAAAGAACGAGACAUUUGAAAUCUGAACAAAAAAGAUCUGUUGUGCACAUAUCCUACCAAAUUUCCAGAGGAAGAUGAAAACCAGAGGAAGAUGAAGAGCCUCAAUCCCUACUCUAUACAAAGCUAAAUAUAUAUUUUAUUUGAACACCAAGAUGGUUAAUAUUUCAGGUUCGAUCUCUAUAUUUAACCAUUUUGGAUCUGAACAGACAGAGAAAGUAAUUAGUUGUCCAAAAAGUACACCAUAUCAAUAGGUGCAUAUAUCAGAAAAAGUUCCUCGGUUAUAGGCAUCAGAAAAUGACUCUGAAAAAGUCAGACAACAUAUAAUUUAUUACAAUAUCAAAGGAGGUUCACAGAAUCAACUGAAAACAGAAAGUCAACUUGGAAAUGAGGAGAUACCAAAGCAGAGCUGAAGACUGGAAGCUGCAGCUGUAAAAAAAUUGUGCCGUUGGAAAGCAAAACGGCAAUACAACUGCAAAGCAUUGUUCAAGGUCACCAUGGGUGCAUGCAUUUGCAAUGUAAUGGAAUAUGCAAUUAUUCAUAAAAUGAGUUCAUCAGUUAUGAAAAAUGAAAAAGUCCAAAUAAAUAUAUGCUCGGUGUUUUAAGCAUUCAAUACUCUAAAGCCAGAAGCCAGAGGGAGUGCUUGAGUAAAGGGAAGCGCAAACUACUGAUGGUGAAAAGCUUGCAAGAAAGUAGACGAAAAAAGCAUUUAAGAGAAAAUAUAGCACAAAAUGGAGCAAUUUUGUGAAGAGCCAAAUGAGACUGUCUUAUCUAUGCCAAUAGUUUUCCAUGAUUAUAUUUAAAUCUUAAUAUGAUAAUUGCAUAACUAUGGUCAUGGAAAAUAAAAAGAUCAACCUUUUGUCAUGUUCAAACCAAACCAUCAAUUGCUUUCUUUAAAAAUAAAUACAUAAAAAGGUUUUCAUAAAAUGGUGUCUCUAAAAGGGCUGAGAAAUUUAAUUCUGCAAAAUAUUUAUUUCUUGUUGAUGCUGGAUGAGGAAGA
rnacentral:lncRNA from 1 species